AAGUCGAGCGACAGAUGAGAAGCUUGCUUCUCUGAUGUUAGCGGCGGACGGGUGAGUAACACGUGGGUAACCUACCUAUAAGACUGGGAUAACUCCGGGAAACCGGGGCUAAUACCGGAUAAUAUUUUGAACCGCAUGGUUCAAUAGUGAAAGACGGUUUCGGCUGUCACUUAUAGAUGGACCCGCGCCGUAUUAGCUAGUUGGUAAGGUAACGGCUUACCAAGGCGACGAUACGUAGCCGACCUGAGAGGGUGAUCGGCCACACUGGAACUGAGACACGGUCCAGACUCCUACGGGAGGCAGCAGUAGGGAAUCUUCCGCAAUGGGCGAAAGCCUGACGGAGCAACGCCGCGUGAGUGAUGAAGGUCUUCGGAUCGUAAAACUCUGUUGUUAGGGAAGAACAAAUUUGUUAGUAACUGAACAAGUCUUGACGGUACCUAACCAGAAAGCCACGGCUAACUACGUGCCAGCAGCCGCGGUAAUACGUAGGUGGCAAGCGUUAUCCGGAAUUAUUGGGCGUAAAGCGCGCGUAGGCGGUUUCUUAAGUCUGAUGUGAAAGCCCACGGCUCAACCGUGGAGGGUCAUUGGAAACUGGGAAACUUGAGUGCAGAAAAGGGAGAGUGGAAUUCCAUGGUGUAGCGGGUGAAAAUGCGCAGAGAUAUGGAGGAACACCCGGUGGCGAAAGGCGGGCUCUCUGGUCUCGAACUGACGCUAAUGUGCGAAAGCGUGAGGGAUCAAACCGAUUUAGAUACCCCGGGUGUCCCCCCCUGUAACGAUGUGUGCUGAGUGUUUAGGGGGGUUUCCCCCCCUUUGUGGCUGGCAGCGA
rnacentral:rRNA from 1 species